rnacentral:lncRNA from 1 species
GGUAAACGUUGAGUUUUUCCCAUUUCGUCCGUUGACUGAUGGUUGUAUCCCUUCCAGUCAUUCAUUAAUGUCUGGUCACCUCUCCGUUGGUCUUGGUAAACAUUGAGUUUUUUCCCAUUACGUCCGUUGACGUAUGGUUGUAUCCCUCCCAGUCAUUCAUUAAUGUCUGGUUACCUCUCCGUUGGUCUUGAUAAACGUCGAGUUUUUCCUAGUUGUCCGUUGGCAUCUAGUUGUGAUUUCUAUUCCCAUUCGUCAUCGUUGUGAUGUCUGGAUGUGGCCAUACCCUCUGAAAAC